GUGCCAGCCGCCGCGGUAAUACGGGGGGGGCAAGCGUUGUUCGGAAUUACUGGGCGUAAAGGGCUCGUAGGCGGCCAACUAAGUCGGACGUGAAAUCCCUCGGCUUAACCGGGGAAUGGCGUCCGAUACUGGAUGGCUGGAGUAUGGGAGAGGGAUGCGGAAUUCCAGGUGUAGCGGUGAAAUGCGUAGAUAUCUGGAGGAACACCGGUGGCGAAGGCGGCAUCCUGGACCAUGACUGACGCUGAGGAGCGAAAGCCAGGGGAGCAAACGGGAUUAGAUACCCGUGUAGUCC
rnacentral:rRNA from 1 species